UUGAACGCUGGCGGCGGGCCUAACACAUGCAAGUCGAGCGCGAAAGGUUUUCGGACUGAGUAAAGCGGCGGACGGGUGAGUAACGCGUGGGAAUCUGCCCAGUAGUGGGGGACAACAGUCGGAAACGACUGCUAAUACCGCAUACGCCCUACGGGGGAAAGGGGGGGAUCUUCGGACCUCUCGCUAUUGGAUGAGCCCGCGUCGGAUUAGCUAGUUGGUAGGGUAAAGGCCUACCAAGGCUACGAUCCGUAACUGGUCUGAGAGGAUGAACAGUCACACUGGAACUGAGACACGGUCCAGACUCCUACGGGAGGCAGCAGUGGGGAAUAUUGGACAAUGGGGGCAACCCUGAUCCAGCCAUGCCGCGUGUGUGAAGAAGGCCUUAGGGUUGUAAAGCACUUUCAGUGGGGAGAAAGGUUUGUCACCUAAUACGUGAUGAAAUUGAUGUUACCCACAGAAGAAGCACCGGCUAACUCCGUGCCAGCAGCCGCCGUAA
rnacentral:rRNA from 1 species